ensembl:misc_RNA Metazoa_SRP Metazoan signal recognition particle RNA
GCUGGGCGUGGUGGUGCACACCUGUAGUCCCAGCUACUCAGGAGGCUGAGGUGGGAGGACUGCUUGAGCCUGGGAGGUUGAGGCUGCAGUGAGCAGUGAUUAUGCCACUGCACUCUUGCCUGGGCAACAAAGUGAGACUCGUCUCAA